GUGGGGAUAGCUCAGUUGGGAGAGUGUCAGACUGAAGAUCUGAAGGUCGUGUGUUCGAUCCACACUCAUCCGCA
rnacentral:tRNA from 1 species